rnacentral:rRNA from 1 species
GGGCCCGCACAAGCGGUGGAGCAUGUGGUUUAAUUCGAUGCAACGCGAAGAACCUUACCUGGUCUUGACAUACACAGAAUCUUGUAGAGAUACGAGAGUGCCUUCGGGAAUUGUGAUACAGGUGCUGCAUGGCUGUCGUCAGCUCGUGUCGUGAGAUGUUGGGUUAAGUCCCGCAACGAGCGCAACCCUUGUCCCUUAGUUACCAGCACUUCGGGUGGGAACUCUAAGGAUACUGCCGGUGCUAAGCCGGAGGAAGGCGGGGAUGACGUCAAGUCCUCAUGGCCCUUACACGCGGGGCUACACACGUGCUACAAUGGCAGUGACAAUGGGAUAAUCCCAAAAAGCUGUCUCAGUUCAGAUUGUCCUCUGCAACUCGAGGGCAUGAAGUUGGAAUCGCUAGUAAUCG